rnacentral:rRNA from 1 species
UACGGGGGGGGCAAGCGUUGUUCGGAAUUACUGGGCGUAAAGGGCUCGUAGGUGGCCAACUAAGUCAGACGUGAAAUCCCUCGGCUUAACCGAGGAACUGCGUCUGAUACUGGAUGGCUUGAGUUUGGGAGAGGAAUGCGGAAUUCCAGGUGUAGCGGUGAAAUGCGUAGAGAUCGGGAGGAACAUCCGUGGCGAAGGCAGCUCGCUGGGACGGUACUGACGCUGAGACGCGAAAGCGUGGGGAGCAAACAGG